AUGCAAACAAAAAAGAAAACUACACAGCUAAGCUGGGGAAAAGGCAGGGAAGCCAGCAAAAAGAAAAAAAAGCAAAAUCAACUUACAGAUGAUAGGCCUAUAAAUUACUCCCUCUGUUCCGUUUUAAUUAUUGUUUUUGAGUAUAAAUUUAGUUCUUUUUUAAUUGUCAUUUUCAAAGUUCAAGGUAACAUUAAUUGUCGUUUUGUCAAUAUUGUCCCUAAUUAUUUAUUGAAGAGAGAGAGAGAGAGUUAA